rnacentral:rRNA from 1 species
UGGGGAAUCUUCCACAAUGGGCGCAAGCCUGAUGGAGCAACACCGCGUGAGUGAAGAAGGGUUUCGGCUCGUAAAGCUCUGUUGUUAAAGAAGAACACGUAUGAGAGUAACUGUUCGUACGUUGACGGUAUUUAACCAGAAAGUCACGGCUAACUACGUGCAG